rnacentral:rRNA from 1 species
CAGUAGCCGCGGGAAUACGUAGGUGGCAAGCGUUGUCCGGAAUUAUUGGGCGUAAAGGGCUCGCAGGCGGUUUCUUAAGUCUGAUGUGAAAGCCCCCGGCUCAACCGGGGAGGGUCACUGGAAACUGGGAAACUUGAGUGCAGAAGAGGAGAGUGGAAUUCCACGUGUAGCGGUGAAAUGCGUAGAGAUGUGGAGGAACACCAGUGGCGAAGGCGACUCUCUGGUCUGUAACUGACGCUGAGGAGCGAAAGCGUGGGGAGCGAACAGGAUUAGAUACCCGGGUAGUCCCUGUCUCUUAUAC